GUGCUGGUUUCGGCAGCACACACACUAAAAUGGGUACAAUGCAGAGAAGAUUAGCACGGCCCCUGCACAGGGAUGAUGCGCAAAUUUGUGAAGCGUUCCGUACUUUA